rnacentral:rRNA from 1 species
GACGAACGCUGGCGGCGCGCUUUAUACAUGCAAGUCGAACGUGAAGCUCGGAGCUUGCUCCGGGUGGAAAGUGGCGAACGGGUGAGUAUCACGUGAGAAACCUGCCCCGAAGACCGGGAUAACACCGGGAAACCGGUGCUAAUACCGGAUGCCCUCACCGGAUCGCAUGGUCUGGUGAGGAAAUGGAUUCCGCUUCGGGAUGGUCUCGCGGCCUAUCAGCUUGUUGGUGGGGUAAUGGCCCACCAAGGCUUCGACGGGUAGCUGGUCUGAGAGGAUGUCCAGCCACACUGGGACUGAGACACGGCCCAGACUCCUACGGGAGGCAGCAGUAGGGAACUU